CUCUGCUUGCAGUGUAGCCGCAGUUCGGGGGGCCUUUCACCUCAGAUAGUCCUUAAAGUUUGCAAAGGGAGGAUCCGAGUGCCGGCAUAGGGCGGGCGGGCCGGCGGUUGGGGAGGGGGUGGUAACUAUACCCCGGGAGGGCGCAGAAACCCCGCUUCCCUUUCAUUUAAUGUUGGCUUUUCGGAUGCUCGCCGAGGAGCAGCGAAUGGCAGCCAUAGGGACGGACAAAGAGCUUAGCGACUUGCUGGAUUUCAGUGCGAUGUUUUCCCCGCCUGCUUCUAAUGGAAAAAAUCGACCAACCACGUUAGGAAGCAACCAGUUUGGAGGGACAGGCCUGGAUGAGCGAACAGGGACUGGCCCAUGGGCAGGAAGUGGACAGGGCAGUAGUCCAACCUAUGAACAACCAAGAAGCUAUGGUGAGGGUUCCCACUACAGCGAUCAUACACCAAACAGGGAGUUGUCAUCAGGUGAAGGCCUUUCUUCGUCAUCCUUCAUGAACUCCGGUCUCGUUGUGAAAAAUGCAGAGAGGGUUACAUUUCCACCAUUUGGAAGAGAAUCAGCCAUGCCAGCAUUAAAUCAGGGAACCUUUAUGAAUUCUGAAAUGGGAAUGACCAAUUCAGGAACAAUGUCACCGACUGGAGUCAAACCUAGCUCCCAGUAUUACCCCUUUGCCAGUAACCCUCGCAGAAGGCCAGUGCAAGAGCCAACUAGUCUAGAAUCCCAGCCCAAGAAAGUAAGAAAGGUGCCUCCUGGCCUGCCUUCUUCGGUGUACGCUUCAACAUCAAGUGAAGAAUACAGCAGGGAUUCAGCUGGGUAUUCUUCAUCCAAGCCUUCAGGUUCUGUAUUUCCAGGGUCAUUCUAUAUUCAAGAUGGUAUUCACAACAGUCCUGAUGUCUGGAACUCAUCCAGUGGAAUGGCUCAGCCAAGUUACGGUGGUUUGAUGGGAAAUACGACAACCCAUUUGUCCCAAGCGAGUGGCUACAGCAACCUUCAUCCACAGGAGCGCCUGGGUUAUCCAAUGCACACAGUGUCGUCGACUGAAGUUAAUGGAAGUCUUCCUUCUAUGUCAGGUUUCCACUGUAGCAGUAACUCAGGUUCAGUUACGUUCGGCGUCUCAUCUCACACACCGCCAAUCAGUGGGACGGAAUCCAUCAUGACUAAUAGAGGAAGUUCAUCUGGCAGCCCACAGACCUGUGACGCACUGGGAAAGGCUCUAGCCUCGAUUUAUUCACCAGACCAUACCAGCAAUAACUUCCAUUCAAAUCCAUCAACACCAGUUGGCUCCCCACAGGCAAUUGCAGGUACAGGUCAGUGGUCUAGAACUGGGGGCCAAGGUGCACUGUCACCGAGUUACGAAGGGACGCUACAUAACCUGCAGCAGAAUAAAAUGGAAGAUCGGCUAGACAGACUGGACGACGCCAUUCACGUGCUGCGCAGUCAUGCUGUUGGGUCAGCAACAACCAUGCCCAGUAACCACAGUGACUUGCAUGUAUUAAUAGGGCCAUCGCACAAUGGCCCAGUCGGAGGUUUAAGCACAGGAUUCACACCCCCAGUCCUGUUGCCAGCAAACCGGCAUUCUAUGGUUGGAGCUCAUGAAGAAGGCUCAGGAAUAUCUAACAACCCUAGUGUUCUGCCCAGCCGUGUGCUGCCAUCACAGACCACUGCACUGUCAGAUCUUAACCGGCCUCAAGAAGCUUACAGCGGAAUGCCCGGUGGUCUGCAGAGAUCUAAUGCCAGUCAGUCUACUGCGGAUAUAAAGCAAGAAGAAAAGGAGGACGACGAAAACCACAAUUCCUCGGGUACAGAAGAGAAGUCAGAUGAUGAACGGAAAGAUUCCAAAGUGUCAUCACGGGCAUCAAGAACAAGUAGUCAAGAUGAUGACGAGCAACUUCUCCCAGAGCAAAAAGCAGAAAGAGAGCGGGAGAGGAGAGUAGCUAAUAAUGCCCGUGAGCGCCUGCGUGUGCGUGACAUCAAUGAGGCCUUCAAAGAACUUGGACGCAUGUGUCAACUCCACCUUAACAAUGACAAGCCACAGACAAAACUACUUAUUCUCCACCAGGCUGUGUCAGUCAUUCUCAACUUGGAGCAACAAGUCAGAGAGCGCAAUUUGAAUCCUAAAGCUGCCUGCCUUAAGCGAAGGGAGGAGGAGAAGGUAUCGGCAGUGGUAGGGGAGCAGCCACUGCCUCUUUCAGCUACACAUCCUGGUCUGGGAGAUAAUCACAAUGCAGUGAGCCACAUGUAGAAGUUUUAGGAAUUGCGUGAAAAUCUGAUCACAUUUAUGCAGAAAUAGAAAAGAAUCUACAAGGUUCACAAACUUUCUAAUACCACUGUACAUCUUUCGUGUAGCUCUGACUGCCUGGUUUAACUGAAGGUGGUAAGCAAGAAUGACACAUCAUCUGUCAUCUUUCUCCUUGAGGAAGAAACCUUGUUCUGCCAAAAACAAAAUGAUAAAACUGACAAAUCCUUUUAUCUGGAUCAGAAUUGCAAAUGUGAACAUGCACAUUUGUUAUAUCUAUCUAAAGAGGGGGGACAGUCGAUGCAUAUCAUUAGAAGUACUGGAUCUCUGUGCUGCAAAGGUUUUUUGCUACAGUCCAAAAGGGAAAUAAAAAACCCUUCCCCGACAGUGGAAGAAAGGAGUUAGUGCCUGAGCUUAUGUUAAAUCCCAGUAUGUUUUAAUGAAACCUGCAAGGAUGCGAGGUUGUUUUGGAACAAAAUUUCAACAAAGUCCUUUUUGCUUGUUUUGUAAGCAAGUUGUCUUAUUGUUUAACAAAAAAAAAUGUCCUUGGUUUACAGCAUUCCCAGAAAAUAUUUGUCUUACUCAACUGACACGCAACCACUCCACGUCUCCCUAGUACUUGACUGGGGUGGGGGAGGAUGGGAGGGGAUUGUUAGCCAAUGGACAAAAUAUCCUACAGACCUUCUCUUGUCCUGCAUUUGCGAUCAGGUAAAUGUGGAGGGCCAACAUAAUGAGUGCAUUACUGAAGCUAGUUCAUUCAUUUGUAGGGAGUUAUUUUAUGUAAAAUGAGCAAAACUAUAUUUUUGCAUUAUUAGACUUUACAUUGUAGUUUUUUAAGGUAGCUGGACAUAGUGCGUACUCAGAACUUGAAAGGUCUUUGGAGACUUUCAUAUUGCAGUAACUGUUGCUGCAGAUUCUAGAUAAUGUAUGACCAUAGGUUUGUCAUGGAUUUAUUCAAGAAGUGGGAAAACGUUUCCACGCUAUUGUAGAUUCCUACACAAUGUAAUAUUCAAAUGUUUAAAAAUUCUUAUGAAUUGGUCGUGGAAUCUAAUAUGGAUUGUGAGCAACUUACGUAACAGUGGCUUGCCUCAUGCCAAGCUGAAUUCAUUUCUGCCGCAGCCUGUGUACUGUGGAAACGAACCCAUUGCAAAUAAAAAAAAACACGGAAUCAGUCUUCCACUGAAAACGUAUAUUCACAGACUCUCACCAGCCAAGCAGAAGACAGUACUUUUGACAUAACUUUUUUUAUUUUUAAAAAAGGUGUGAACAAGUGGAAAACGGACAACAAAACCGUGGGACUGAAUGAACAAAAUUUUUGACAUUUGAGGGUAAAAUGCCUGACAUUACUAGAACUGCAUUAAAUAUUGUGCAGUGACAUUUCUCAGCUCAUUUUGAGUAUUGCAGAUGUAUGUAAUAGUUAAAAAAAAUUACGUGGCCUUUUCAUUCUUGUACUUGUGAUGCAAUGUGGACAGAAUGAAAAAUGACCAGUGCCUAACAUUUCAUUAAAAGCCUCUUUUUUGUCUAGUGCUUUUUUUGCUAAGAAAAGACUUGCAGUAUACCCUUACAAAGUGAAAUUUAAGGAAAAAAGUUGGCUUAUUUUCACAACAGCAAUCCUUUUAUACCAUAAAUCUUGAAAAUGUCUUGGAUUCCGAAUGUUACUUUUUGUAGAUUUUUACUCAAUGUCUGAUUCGAGAAGUUUAUUUUAGUACAUGUAGGUAAAGCUUCUUCUAGCACCCAUACAGUACUUAAAUGUUACACAAUUAGAUUUCUGAUUGUGUUGCUGAGUGCCUCGAGUUCCUUGUGUGUUUUUUUUUUGUAUUUAUACAAGCAUCAAAACAGCUGGCUGGAGUAUUCGGAAAAGUAGUUUAAAUCAUUUCCUUUUGCCUUAGUAGUUAACGAGAGCUGUCAUGUAUAUAACAGUAAUGUAGCAAUAAAUGUGCCAUUUUUAUAACAGGAAUGCCCCUCCUUUUUAAUGUCCGUUUAAUCUUGUAUACCCAAUGUCAUUGUAAUAAAGGGUUUUCCUUAAAUUUAAACAAGUGUUUCCUUUUCCACUGUGUAAAUUAACAAAUAUGUAUUAUGGAAUAGAUCAAUUAUAAUUUGCACCUAUAGCUUUUCAGUUUUGUAACAAUAGCAAAAAGUUCCCAGUUAAAAAAUGUAUUAUGUUUUGGAAGACCAUGAUUGCCCACGGGGCACAUAAUAACGAUGAUGAUUAUGUUUUCCUGAAUUACAAACUUCUGGCUAAUGUUAUCUGGCAGGGUACUUGUAAUUACACUCAACUGUAACUUCA